UACGGAGGAGGCAAGCGUUGUUCGGAAUUACUGGGCGUAAAGGGCGCGUAGGCGGUUCGUUAAGUCCUGUGUGAAAUCCCCCGGCUCAACUGGGGAACUGCACAGGAAACUAGCGGGCUUGAGUUCGGGAGAGGGAAGCGGAAUUCCGGGUGUAGCGGUGAAAUGCGUAGAUAUCCGGAGGAACACCGGUGGCGAAGGCGGCUUCCUGGACCGACACUGACGCUGAGGCGCGAAAGCUAGGGGAGCAAACGGG
rnacentral:rRNA from 1 species